rnacentral:rRNA from 1 species
ACGUAGGAGACAAACGUUAUCCGGAGUUACUGGGCGUAAAGGGCGUGCAGGCGGUUUCUUAAGUUCGUCGUGAAAUCGCCCGGCUUAACCGGGCGGGGUCGAUGGAUACUGGGGAACUAGAGGGCGGUAGAGGCGUGUGGAAUUCCGGGUGUAGUGGUGAAAUGCGUAGAGAUCCGGAGGAACCCCGGUGGCGAAGGCGACUUGCUGGGCCUGAACUGACGCUCAGACGCGAAAGCAUGGGGAGCGAACGG